UACGAAGGGGGCUAGCGUUGCUCGGAAUCACUGGGCGUAAAGCGCACGUAGGCGGCUUUUUAAGUCAGGGGUGAAAUCCUGGAGCUCAACUCCAGAACUGCCUUUGAUACUGAAGAUCUCGAGUCCGGGAGAGGUGAGUGGAACUGCGAGUGUAGAGGUGAAAUUCGUAGAUAUUCGCAAGAACACCAGUGGCGAAGGCGGCUCACUGGCCCGGUACUGACGCUGAGGCACGAAAGCUAGGGGAGCAAACGGG
rnacentral:rRNA from 1 species